CCGGCAAGAGGGGAGACCGCGCGUCCCCCUGUCGCAUUGUGCCGCUGCCGCUCGCGGGAUGCGGACGAGUCUGUUGAGUGUGUUGUGCCGUCUGCCGUCUCCUCUUCGGGCCAUGAACGCAGGAUGCAAGACUGGACAGGCGACGGGCGACUCAACCACUCAAGAUGUGUAGAAUGUGGAUGGCGGAGGAGCGGCGGCCGAGGACGUGUGACGUGAUAAUAUCUGAAGCGUGGCUGACUCGAAAAAGUGUAGACUUAUCUUCAUGUAAAUAUGUUUUUCGGAAGUCCUCGGCUCAUAUUUCUUGGAGCCUCAGCUGCAACCUGCGAAUGCCUAGAGCUCCAUAUAUGUAUACCCGGUCGCCUGUGGUUGGCGGCUGCUCCAUUCCUGGCAAUGAAAAAUGGCUAAAUGUGCUUGUUUUAA
rnacentral:lncRNA from 1 species